rnacentral:piRNA from 1 species
UAGUGUCCAUGUCGGUCAUCUCAAAGGUUC